UACAGAGGUCUCAAGCGUUGUUCGGAUUCAUUGGGCGUAAAGGGUGCGUAGGUGGCGCGGUAAGUCGGGUGUGAAAUUUCGGAGCUUAACUCCGAAACUGCAUUCGAUACUGCCGUGCUUGAGGACUGGAGAGGAGACUGGAAUUUACGGUGUAGCAGUGAAAUGCGUAGAGAUCGUAAGGAAGACCAGUGGCGAAGGCGGGUCUCUGGACAGUUCCUGACGCUGAGGCGCGAAAGCGUGGGGAGCAAACGGG
rnacentral:rRNA from 1 species